CGAGUAGACUGGAUGGUCGCAGACAUGAUCGCCGCGAGGCGGUGUCUGAGGAAAGUCCGAGCUCCAUAGGGCAGGGUGCUGGGUAAUACCCAGUGGGGGCAACCUCAAGGAAAGUGCCACAGAAACAUACCGCUCCGUAACGGGGACCACCCCGCGCGGGGUAAGGGUGAAACGGUGCGGUAAGAGCGCACCAGCGGCCGGGCGACCGACCGGCUAGGUAAACCCCACCCGGAGAAAGACCAAAUAGGAGGGGGAUGACGUGGCCCGCUGAACCCCUCGGGUUUAGGUCGCUUGAGGCCACCGGCAACGGUGGUCCCAGAUAGAUGGCCAUCCACGACAGAACUCGGCUUACAGGUCUACUCGCCCG
rnacentral:RNase_P_RNA from 1 species